rnacentral:lncRNA from 1 species
CACGUACGAAAUAUGGAAAGACCAAAAUGCCCUCUCACCUACCCAGGUGUACCGGUACACGAGCAGUUGUACCGGUACAAAUGGCAACCCGAGAGUAGCUGCGAGGAAACAGGCGAAGUGUACCGGUACACAUCCGAUGUUGUACCGUCACAGAAAGUGUACCGGUACACCUCUGAUGUUGUAUAGGUACAACAAGCAGGAAAUCUGCAAUUUGCAUAUUCCAAUGCUAACUUCUACUCUCGCGUCCCCACUGAGUCUGUUUUGUGUCUAUUUCGCGCCAACGCGAUUCGUACUUAUCCCGACACUCUCCAGAACUAUCGACAAGCCUCAACUGCUGUACUCCAGGGAUAUCACAAAUACACACCAU